GAAAAAUUGAGCUAAGAAUGAAUGGUUGAAUUUAACUUGUUAAUGUGACUUUGAGAAAAACCUCUACUGAAUGGAAUAAAUAUGGUUCUGCUUAAUGGAGUUGUUUGUUUUCUGGGAAUCUAGAGAAUGAAGGGAAAAUUAUUUUCUAUUUUUAGGUUUGCAGUGUCCUAUUAAUGUCAAAUGCCUGAUCUUUUAAAAAGUUUUUAAUAUUUUUGGGAGAAUUUGUAAUUUUUUUUUUGUCUAUAGAUAUGGUUGUAUUUUUUUUUAUUUACAUGUCCAAAAUUUAGAGUCUUUUUCCAGAAUCCCAUGCAGUUUAUUUCCUGAGAGUGCGAAAGUGACUUUGGAAUCUGAAUUGGAUCCUAGUUAACUCUGAAUGGAAUUUAUGGAUUUUGGGUUGUAGUUGAUAUUGUAGCAAUUGCAUUGU
rnacentral:misc_RNA from 1 species